rnacentral:lncRNA from 1 species
AAAGACAAUCGAUGCGGUUGUUUUGUUGGUUAUGUGUUCAUCUUUGCACUCAAGGUUUCGCAAUCAAUUCAUCAUUCUUAGGAUAUCACUACUUUGGACAUGUAAAAUAAUAAGAUGUUUGUGAGAGUACGUGAGAGUACGUGAUCCGUUAGACUCAAUACAUGGUUCAUGUGUGGGGCCAUUUAAGCCUUACGUGUGAACAAGAGCAUGUGGGCCACAAUAGUAGCACACGAAAUCGUAAGUCUUCAGUUACAUAAGGCCUUUAUAUAGAUGUAACAAUGACUCUUCAAAAUAUUAUUUUGAAGAGUUGAUUUAAUUCAUUUUAAAGUAAGUUUUUCAAUACAUAUAACAUUUGGAUUCAAAUUUGACACCAAAAGUUACUUUAUAUAACUUUGAACUAUUAGAUUGGAGAUUAGCCUAAUCCUAGGUUAAAACCACUAAUGCUUUUUCCUCAGUGAACUGAAACUGAGAGGAUGAGCUUGGUAGUUGCUACCAAGUACAACUUUUUCCUAAUGCAACGGUCACAUACAACUGUUUCCUCAUUCAAUAUAUGAAUAAUGCUUGAUUUGUUAUGUGCAUGCUUUUCUAAAUUCCAUUGAGUCAUCAAGUGUUUCUCUAUUACUCUACGACGUAAUAUUAUUUUAGUGUACAAAUAUUAUAAUUCGAUUUUUUAUAUUUUUUAUCAUCAUCUAAAAAUUAUCUGUAUAAAUUUUUACUUAAUUUAAAGACCGUUCACCAUAUAUAUCGAACAAAUGAAAAAAUUAUAGUAAAAUAAUAUAUUAAUAAUUAAAUGUCAACUAGUUUUAUUGAGAGACGGAUCCUUUUGAGGGCAAGCUAGGAAUUUGAAAAAAAGAAAAGAAUUAGAAAUACUUGUAAUAGUUUAGUCCAAUUCUGCUCGCCCGAGUAAUUAUUGAGAAAUUUUAUGCCUCACGUAUUUCACUUAAAUUAGGACAUGUGAUUUAGGAUAGGUUGUUUAUGUCUGUUGAACUUUUGUUGCUAAUUGUUUGAGUGUUUGAGUAAGAUUGAAAAUUAGUUUAUCUUGUACAUAUUUGCAUUGCAAUUAGGACAUGUUAGUUUAUUGCUAAUUUUAUGCCUCACGUAUUAAGAUACUGUUUUAUUAUUAUUGUAUAUAUGAACUUGAUCCACUCACUUUUGUUUUGCGCCCCCAUUCAGAUCAUAGAAACGAGGACUACGACUCGACGUACGAGGCAUUCCCCUACCAGUAGCACUCUAUCACCCACUUGUGUGAUAUCUUGUAAUGAUCUUUCCUCUUUGUAAAUCUUGAAUUAGAUUGUGUCCUAUGCACUCUAGACAAUUCCUUAAACUUUGUUCAUUACUCCUAAAUUAUAAUGUUUAUUCACGAAUAUUUUCUCCUAAUCAUUAUUCUUGAAAUCAAUUAAUGGCUUUCGUCACCCUCGGG